rnacentral:rRNA from 1 species
UACGAAGGGUGCUAGCGUUGUUCGGAAUCACUGGGCGUAAAGCGCGCGUAGGCGGCUUUUUAAGUCAGAGGUGAAAGCCUGGAGCUUAACUCCAGAACUGCCUUUGAAACUGAAAAGCUAGAGUCUUGGAGAGGAUACUGGAAUUUCUAAUGUAGCGGUGAAAUGCGUAGAUAUUAGAAGGAACACCAAUGGCGAAGGCAGGUAUCUGGACAAGCACUGACGCUGAGGCGCGAAAGCGUGGGGAUCAAACAGG